AGCGAACGCUGGCGGCAGGCCUAACACAUGCAAGUCGAACGAACCUUUCGGGGUUAGUGGCGGACGGGUGAGUAACACGUGGGAACGUGCCUUUAGGUUCGGAAUAACUCAGGGAAACAUGUGCUAAUACAGAAUGUGCCCUUCGGGGGAAAGAUUUAUCGCCUUUAGAGCGGCCCGCGUCGGAUUAGCUAGUUGGUGGAGGUAAUGGCUCACCAAGGCGACGAUCAGUAGCUGGUCUGAGAGGAUGAUCAGCCACAUUGGGACUGAGACACGGCCCACACUCCUACGGGACGCAGCAGUGGGGAAUCUUGCGCAAUGGGCGAUAGCCUGACGCAGCCAUGCCGGGUGAAUGAUGAAGGUCGUAGGAUUGUAAAAUUCUUUCACCGGGGACGAUAAUGACGGUACCCGGAGAAGAAGCCCCGGCUAACUUCGUG
rnacentral:rRNA from 1 species